UCCCGCAACGAGCGCAACCCUGAUCUUUAGUUGCCAUCAUUUAGUUGGGCACUCUAAGGUGACUGCCGGUGACAAACCGGAGGAAGGUGGGGAUGACGUCAAAUCAUCAUGCCCCUUAUGACCUGGGCUACACACGUGCUACAAUGGACGGUACAAACGGUUGCCAACCCGCGAGGGGGAGCUAAUCCGAUAAAGCCGUUCUCAGUUCGGAUUGUAGGCUGCAACUCGCCUACAUGAAGCCGGAAUCGCUAGUAAUCGCGGAUCAGCAUGCCGCGGUGAAUACGUUCCCGGGCCUUGUACACACCGCCCGUCACACCACGAGAGUUUGUAACACCCGAAGUCGGUGGGGUAACCUUUUGGAGCCAGCCGCCGAAGGUGGGACAGAUGAUUGGGGUGAAGUCGUAACAAGGUAGCCGUAUCGGAAGGUGCGGUUGGAACACCUCCUU
rnacentral:rRNA from 1 species